rnacentral:rRNA from 1 species
UACGAAGGGAGCUAGCGUUGUUCGGAAUUACUGGGCGUAAAGGGCGCGUAGGCGGCUUGAUAAGUUUGGUGUGAAAGCCCUGGGCUUAACCUAGGAAUAGCAUUGAAUACUGUCAGGCUCGAGGCCGAGAGAGGGAAAUGGAAUUGCGAGUGUAGAGGUGAAAUUCGUAGAUAUUCGCAAGAACACCAGUGGCGAAGGCGAUUUCCUGGCUCGGUACUGACGCUAAGGCGCGAAAGCGUGGGGAGCAAACAGG